UGCGCAGGCGGGCUAAUAAGUCAGUGGUGAAGUCUUUCGGCUUAACCGGGAAACUGCCAUUGAUACUGUUAGUCUUGAGUUCGGUUGAGGUAGGCGGAAUGUGUAAUGUAGCGGUGAAAUGCUUAGAUAUUACACAGAACACCAAUUGCGUAGGCAGCUUACUAGACCGACACUGACGCUGAGGCACGAAAGCGUGGGGAGCGAACAGGAUUAGAUACCCUGGUAGUCC
rnacentral:rRNA from 1 species